UGUUAAAAAUUUCAUCCAUUUGUAUUAUUAAAAAGUUACCGUUAUUAGAAUAACCAAAUAGUGACAUUUGACGUGUCACGUGUACCUCAUAUUGACGUACAUGAAUUAAAUUUUAAUACUAGAAAUGGAUGAAAUUUUUAACA
rfam:Gossypium arboreum cultivar AKA8401 contig_3924_3, whole genome shotgun sequence.